ensembl:lincRNA
UCUAAUGCAGUUUCGGCUGGUAAUUGUGCUUUCACAGAAAGAGUCAUGUGCAUUGUUUCUGAGAAAUGAAAUUAAAAAGUGACUACAAAACAAAAAGAAAUCAACUAGCAAUUCUAUUUUUUUUGUUGUUGUUGUUAAGGUUCUAUUUAUUUAUUUGAAAGAGAGAGAGAUCAUGAGUGGAGAAAAGUCAGUGGGAGAAGCAGGCUCCCUGCCGAGCAGAGAGCCCCAUGCGGGACUCAAUUCCAGGACUCCAGGAUCAUGAUCAGAGCCGAAGGCAGUCGCUUAACCAACUGACCCACCAGGUGCCCUCAACUUGUAAUUCUUAAGUAACCUUCCGAUUUCGUCAGUGGGCAUUUGACAUUCCCUGAUUACUUCCCCAGAUUCAUUUUAUAUGAGACAGAGGAAACCACAUCUUGCAAAGCCAGAAACAGCUCUCUUCCUUAAAUGUAAUUUUCAUUGUCAUUGAAAGUGACAGAUUUUUGACAAAACUCAGUGUUCACUCUGAACUAUUAUAGCAGUUCAUUUUCCAACAGCAAGUAAUUCCAACUCAACACAGUGCUUAAUGUAGAUGUUCGGUUCAUGUGCUAAAUCUCGUAAACCCCUAACUGUUCAAUUUACUUCAUAUAGGGAAACUCGGGGUCAACCUGGAGCAGUUCCUUACAGAAAAGAAACAGAGCUGCUACAAUACUUUGAACUCCAGGGAAUGUCACAAUGCAUCCAAAUAGCCCAGGUAUUGCCCUGUGGAAUGAGGGAGAAAGUACCCUGCCUUCUUUGAAGGGACUCAAUACCCACACUCUCCCUCAUGGAACCAACUACUUUGAAUAUUAGGAUAAACUACAGAGGAAAACUGAGGAAUUUCCUUCAAUUUGGUAAUUAUUCAUCCAUUAUUUCACAAAUAUUUUUGAAAAAAUUAUCAAUUGUGCUAAAGAUUAGAGUCUGGCAGAGGAAGAUGUCUAAACCCAUUAAAAGCACUAAAAAGUAUAAAUUCUGAAAUAGAAGAUUUUAAGUCUGCUUGGAGGAAGGAGGCAUAAAAGACAUAAUAAAAGCCAAAGAAUGUUCUAGUUAACUGUGUUAUAUUAUUUCUAACAUUCUCUUAUUAACCACUCCCUCUUUUCCCCUUCCCUUUUCCCAGAUAAAGCGAGAGAGAGAAUAUAAAUAAAAGAAACAGCAUAAGGUACAUCAUGAGUGGUUAAAUAUUCAUAGCUGUUAUCUUCAAUCUAUUUUCUUUUUUCUCUCCCUCUCUCUCUUUCCUCCCUGCUUCCUUCCUGCCUGCCUUCCUUUCUUCCUUUUUCCUUCCUUCCUUCUUUCCCCCUUCCUUCCUUUCUCCCUCCCACUUUCUCUCUUUUUCUUUCUUUCUUUCUUUCUUCCUUCCUUCCUUCCUUCCUUCCUUUCUUUCUUUCUUUCUUUCUUUCUUUCUUAAUACCAUUCAACUAAAUAGUUUUAUUUGACUAAUAACUCAGAAGGAUAAGUGGGGGGAGGGGCCAUAAUAUGCCCCUGGGCUCCUGACGGAAGGACCACUGUAGGUAUCCUUGGGGAAAGAACUCCUCAGAAUGUUCCAAAAUGACAAAAAGGGGAAAAUGGGAUUUUCUGACUUAUGUAUGUGAAACUGCAUUUCAUAGAAUUUUUUUUUAAUUAAUUAAUUUAUUUUCAGAAAAACAGUGUUCAUUAUUUUUUCACCACACCCAGUGCUCCAUGCAAUCCGUGCCCUCUAUAAUACCCACCACCUGGUACCCCAACCUCCCACCCCCCCGCCACUUCAAACCCCUCAGAUUGUUUUUCAGAGUCCAUAGUCUCUCAUGAUUCACCUCCCCUUCCAAUUUCCCCCAACUCCCUUCUCCUCUCUAAGACCCCUUGUCCUCUAUGAUAUUUGUUAUGCUCCACAAAUAAGUGAAACCAUAUGAUAAUUGACUCUCUCUGCCUGACUUACUUCAUUCAGCAUAAUCUCUUCCAGUCCCGUCCAUGAUGCUACAAAUGUUGGGUAUUCAUCCUUUCUGAUGGAGGCAUAAUACUCCAUAGUGUAUGUGGACCACAUCUUCCUUAUCCAUUCGUCCGUGAAGGGCAUCUUGGUUCUUUCCAUAGUUUGGCGACCAUGGCCAUUGCUGCUAUAAACAUUGGGGUACAGAUGGCCCUUCUUUUCACGACAUCUGUAUAUUUGGGGUAAAUACCCAGGAGUGCAAUUGCAGGGUAAUAGGGAAGUUCUAUUUUUUAUUUCUUGAGGAAUCUCCACACUGUUCUCCAAAGAGGCUGCACCAACUUGCAUUCCCACCAACUUGCAUUCCCACCAACAGAGAAAGAGUGUUCCCCUUUCUCCACAUCCUCUCCAACACAUGUUGUUUCCUGUUUUGUUAAUUUUGGCCAUUCUAACUGGUGUAAGGUGAUAUCUCAAUGUGGUUUUAAUUUGAAUCUCCCUGAGGGCUAGUGAUGAUGAACAUUUUUUCAUGUGUCUGAUAGCCAUUUGUAUGUCUUCAAUGGAGAAGUGUCUGUUCAUAUCUGCCCAUUUUUUGAUAUGUUUGCCUGUUUCAUGUGUGUUGAGUUUGAGGAGUUCCUUAUAGAUCCUGGAUAUGAACCUUUUGUCUGUACUGUAAUUUGCAAAUAUCACAUUCUGUGGGUUGUCUCUUUGUUUUUUCGACUGUUUCCUUUGCUGUGCAGAAGCUUUUGAUUUUGAUGAAGUCCCAAAAGUUUAUUUUGCCUUUUGUUUCCUUUGCCUUUGGAGACAUAUCUUGAAAGAAUUUUUGCUAAAAGUUAAUCCUGAGUGAUGAUGCUUCCAAAUAAUUUGCUCAAAUGUGUAUUCCUCUUGUUUUAAUCCUGUUCCUGGUAGUUUAAAGAUACCAAUAAAGCCAUAUGUAUUCUAAAAUC